rnacentral:lncRNA from 1 species
GGCGGAGCCCAAGAAGUCUCACCGGCAGAGCCAUCGCAAGAAGGUGCUCCCGGAAAUCUACCUGACCCGCCUGCUCUCCACCAAGGGCACGUUGCAGAAGUUUCUGGAUGACCUGUUCAAGGCCAUUCUGAGUAUCCGUGAAGACAAGCCCCCACUGGCUGUCAAGUACUUUUUCGACUUCCUGGAGGAGCAGGCUGAGAAGAGGGGAAUCUCCGACCCCGACACCCUACACAUCUGGAAGACCAACAGGUGGCGGGUGGGGGGGCCGUGUGGACUUCACUGUGCCACUGGGGCCCCUGUGGCAGGGGGUUCAGAGUCUAGUCUUCUGGCCUCGCCUGCUUGGGGUCAAGCCCUCCUCUGCCAUUUCCCAGCUGUGUGUUCUCGGAUGAGUGACUUAGCCUCUCUGUGCUUCAGUUUCCCCUCCACUGUAAAAUGCGACCCAUGUUAAUGGUGGGAAUUAACUAGAAGAGUGCCCAGAAGCAUGGUCUAGGUGUUGCCCUUACUAUCAUUCUCCCGCACCCCUCUCAGGUGGGCACCAUCAGCUCCACUUCACAGAUAAGCACACUGAGGCUCGGAGAAGCAGCACCUGCUCAAGACCACACAGCCUGGGACAGUAGAGCCAGGCUCGGCCCUACAUUAUCUGAAUCUCUUACCCAGUUGGUAGCCCUCCUUUGAGGCACCUCUUAGCUUGUCGGGGUCAUGCA